CAUUUAUUGGCUGAGAUCAUCAGUUGGGCACUCAGGAAAUUAAUGAGUUCCAGUAUUGAACAAAACUGACAUUUUUCUUCUCCUUCUUAGAGUAGACCACAGAAAGACAGCAGCAUGUUUGCCCAUUGAAUGCUGAUGUCAAACCAUGCUGCAAUGGUUUGAGAGAUUACAAUGGGACGGACCCAGGGCACUUCUUGCACAAUAACACUACAGUGGGCUGCAGUCAUUAUGGAGCUGAAGUGUUUGUUUAAAGUAGUCAUCUCAGUCAUUGCUCAUGGUGACCAUUUUAUACCCAUGUUGGUCAUUUUGCACAGAUCCAGACCAGUGAUUACAAUGUGCUUGAACUACCACAUGUGGUCAUGCAUGAAUUGUAGACAUGUGCAAUUCGUUUCGUUCCGAAUGCAUAGUCGGCCGAAUUUGGAAAUUCGGACAUUCUGUCCGAAGUGCU